UGGGAAUUUUGGACAAUGGGCGCAAGCCUGAUCCAGCAAUGCCGCGUGCAGGAAGAAGGCCUUCGGGUUGUAAACUGCUUUUGUACGGAACGAAAAGGCUCUGGUUAAUACCUGGGGCAUAUGACGGUACCGUAAGAAUAAGCACCGGCUAACUACGUGCCAGCAGCCGCGGUAAUACGUAGGGUGCAAGCGUUAAUCGGAAUUACUGGGCGUAAAGCGUGCGCAGGCGGUUUUGUAAGACAGGCGUGAAAUCCCCGGGCUCAACCUGGGAAUUGCGCUUGUGACUGCAAGGCUGGAGUGCGGCAGAGGGGGAUGGAAUUCCGCGUGUAGCAGUGAAAUGCGUAGAUAUGCGGAGGAACACCGAUGGCGAAGGCAAUCCCCUGGGCCUGCACUGACGCUCAUGCACGAAAGCGUGGGGAGCAAACAGGAUUAGAUACCCUGGUAGUCCACGCCCUAAACGAUGUCAACUGGUUGUUGGGUCUUCACUGACUCAGUAACGAAGCUAACGCGUGAAGUUGACCGCCUGGGGAGUACGGUCGCAAGAUUAAAACUCAAAGGAAUUGACGGGGGCCCCCACAAGCGGUGGAGCAUGUGGA
rnacentral:rRNA from 1 species